ACAGCCGGUCAUAGUGGCAGGGCGCGACCCGGUCCCAUACCGAACCCGGAAGUCAAACCUGUCGUCGCUGCCUAGUACUGAUCUACGAGAGUGGUUGGGAAGGGGCAGUGCUGGCGUUA
rnacentral:rRNA from 1 species